GACGUAGGGCGCGAGCGUUGUCCGGAUUUAUUGGGCGUAAAGAGCUCGUAGGCGGUUUGUCGCGUCGUUCGUGAAAACUCACAGCUUAACUGUGAGCUUGCGGUCGAUACGGGCAGGCUAGAGUUCGGUAGGGGAGACUGGAAUUCCUGGUGUAGCGGUGAAAUGCGCAGAUAUCAGGAGGAACACCGGUGGCGAAGGCGGCUCACUGGCCCGAUACUGACGCUGAGGCACGAAAGCGUGGGGAGCAAACAGG
rnacentral:rRNA from 1 species